rnacentral:rRNA from 1 species
AGAGUUUGAUCUGGCUCAGGAUGAACGCUAGCGGCAGGCUUAACACAUGCAAGUCGAGGGGUAACGGGGCGUAGCAAUACGCUGCCGACGACCGGCGCACGGGUGCGUAACGCGUAUGCAACCUACCUGUAACAGGGGGGAUAACGGGAUGAAAAUCCCACUAAUACCCCAUAUUGUUAGAGAUUCGCAUGUUUCUCUAACGAAAGCUUCGGUGGUUACGGAUGGGCAUGCGUGACAUUAGCUAGUUGGCGGGGCAACGGCCCACCAAGGCGACGAUGUCUAGGGGAGCUGAGAGGCUUAUCCCCCACACUGGUACUGAGACACGGACCAGACUCCUACGGGAGGCAGCAGUGAGGAAUAUUGGUCAAUGGACGGAAGUCUGAACCAGCCAUGCCCGCGUGGAGGAAGAAGGUCCUAUGGGUUGUAAACUCCUUUUACGCCGGAGUAAUAAGAGCCUUGCGAGGCUCGAUGAGAGUACGGCGGGAAUAAGCAUCGGCUAACUCCGUGCCAGCCGCGGC